rnacentral:lncRNA from 1 species
CUAGCUAUAUGGUGGGUCCACUUGUAGACUCUGAUCGUAGAUGUACCUAGCUAUAUGGUGGGUCCACUUGUAGACUCUGAUCGUAGAUGUACCUAGCUAUAUGGUGGGUCCACUUGUAGACUCUGAUUGUAGAUGUACCUAGCUAUAUGGUGGGUCCACUUGUAGACUCUGAUCGUAGAUGUACCUAGUUAUAUGGUGGGUCCACUUGUAGACUCUGAUUGUAGAUGUACCUAGUUAUAUGGUGGGUCCACUUGUAGACUCUGAUCGUAGAUGUACCUAGUUAUAUGGUGGGUCCACUUGUAGACUCUGAUUGUAGAUGUACCUAGUUAUAUGGUGGGUCCACUUGUAGACUCUGAUCGUAGAUGUACCUAGUUAUAUGGUGGGUCCACUUGUAGACUCUGAUCGUAGAUGUACCUAGCUAUAUGGUGGGUCCACUUGUAGACUCUGAUUGUAGAUGUACCUAGUUAUAUGGUGGGUCCACUUGUAGACUCUGAUCGUAGAUGUACCUAGCUAUAUGGUGGGUCCACUUGUAGACUCUGAUUGUAGAUGUACCUAGCUAUAUGGUGGGUCCACUUGUAGACUCUGAUCGUAGAUGUACCUAGCUAUAUGGUGGGUCCACUUGUAGACUCUGAUUGUAGAUGUACCUAGUUAUAUGGUGGGUCCACUUGUAGACUCUGAUCGUAGAUGUACCUAGCUAUAUGGUGGGUCCACUUGUAGACUCUGAUUGUAGAUGUACCUAGUUAUAUGGUGGGUCCACUUGUAGACUCUGAUCGUAGAUGUACCUAGUUAUAUGGUGGGUCCACUUGUAGACUCUGAUCGUAGAUGUACCUAGCUAUAUGGUGGGUCCACUUGUAGACUCUGAUCGUAGAUGUACCUAGCUAUAUGGUGGGUCCACUUGUAGACUCUGAUCGUAGAUGUACCUAGUUAUAUGGUGGGUCCACUUGAAGGAACCUCGGUAUGAAAAGCAUCGCAGGGUCCUUACAGCACUUUAUAAUUAUAGAUUUGCGUGUGGAGUGCAUGAUAUGAGUACGAUGCUCUGGUUUUUAAAGGGACAUUUUUGUGUAUUUAAUUUUUAAUUUUUUUAUUAAAUAACGAUAAAGCUUUUUGAAAGGGAUCAUCAGUGGAUAAUGAAAGGUCUGUGAAACACAUUUUCUUCUUAAGUUGUAAGUGGAAGUUUUAACUGUACAAUACGCUUCAUAAGACCUGUUUUUCAGUCGUUGAGGACAAGUUAUAUUACUUCCUAAUCAUUAUUGGUCAUGAAUUGUCUUGUCCUUACUGCACUUUAGAAUGAUUGAUUUGCAUGUGGAGGUCAUGGUACAAUGCACUAAUGUAAAUGUUUUUUUUUGGUUGUUUUAAUGCUUGUUUUGCAAGAGAUUUAUCAAUUGAUAAUGAAUAGGGGAUCAAUGUAAAGACAAGAAAUAACCUAAAAGUGACAGAGGAAUCUAAAUGUUAACUGUACAAGAUGGUUAUUUAAUUUACUGAGAAAUGUCAACCUGUUAAAUGUUUACAGGUCAGACUGUUGUAAAGAGGAAAGGAAUCUGUCCAAUGUGCUUCAUCUCUCAAACGGCUGCUUUUCAGACAUUUGAUACGGAGAAAGAAGCAUGGUAUUGGACCUCGUUAUGUAUAAUGAUCGUGUUCUUGAACUAAUGUAACGUAUGUAAAAUCUAAUAUGAAAUCUAAAGCCCUCAUUCUGGGUAUGGAAAGAAAAGGAACACUUAUCUAAGUUGUUUUAAACUCCCAGAUUUAAUUUGUAUUUUAUUUUUUUUUGUCAUGAUUUAAUGUUUUAUUAGAAUUUUUUUUUUUCCCUUGUUUUUGUCUUUUCUUGCAAAAUGGGUUUGGGUGCCUCCAUUCUGUUGUGCAAAGAUGAAUGUGACGAUGCACAUUGCAAUAAAGUUUUACUUUUAAAAACUGGGUCUGGAUUAAUCCUUCACCGUUAGGUGCCAUAAGGGAUUGAUUGACGCUAUAAUAAAACUGUCUUGCUUGCAAAUCAAUCACACAAUGAAAGUGACCAGAGGUGUCAUGCCCAUUGGGGGAACAAGGGCACGUGCCCCUUAGAUUUGCUGUGUAUUCAUUUUAUUUAUUUUUUUCAGACGUUAAAUAAAUUACUAAACUUCAUUUUUAAAACCCACGUUGUAU